rnacentral:tRNA from 1 species
UGCCCUAUCGUCUAAUGGUAGGACCCCAGCUUUUGGAGCUGGUUAUAGAGGUUCGAAUCCUUUUGGGGCAG